rnacentral:rRNA from 1 species
CUACGAGUGGCUGCAGUGAGGAAUAUUGGUCAAUGGGCGCGAGCCUGAACCAGCCAUCCCGCGUGCAGGAUGACGGCCCUAUGGGUUGUAAACUGCUUUUCUAUGCCAAGAAACCUGAUUACGUGUAAUCAGUUGCCGGUAGCAUAGGAAUAAGCAUCGGCUAACUCCGUGCCAGCAGCCGCGGUAAUACGGAGGAUGCAAGCGUUAUCCGGAUUCAUUGGGUUUAAAGGGUGCGCAGGUGGGCUUGUAAGUCAGUGGUGAAAUGCUGCCGCUUAACGGUAGAACUGCCAUUGAUACUGCGAGUCUUGAGUAUGGUUGAGGUAGGCGGAAUGUGUUGUGUAGCGGUGAAAUGCAUAGAUAUGACACAGAACGCCAAUUGCGAAGGCAGCUUACUAAGCCAUUACUGACGCUGAGGCACGAAAGCGUGGGGAGCGAACAGGAUUAGAUACCCUUGUAGUC